rnacentral:rRNA from 1 species
AUACGGAGGGUGCAAGCGUUAUCCGGAAUCAUUGGGUUUAAAGGGUCCGUAGGCGGGCAAUUAAGUCAGAGGUGAAAUCCCACAGCUCAACUGUGGAACUGCCUUUGAUACUGAUUGUCCUGAAUUUUAGUGAAGUAGAUAGAAUAUGUAGUGUAGCGGUGAAAUGCAUAGAUAUUACAUAGAAUACCGAUUGCGAAGGCAGUCUACUAACUAACAAUUGACGCUAAUGGACGAAAGCGUGGGGAGCGAACAGGAUUAGAAACCCUAGUAGUCC